rnacentral:rRNA from 1 species
GACGAACGCUGGCGGCGUGCUUAACACAUGCAAGUCGUACGGUAAGGCCCUUUCGGGGGUACACGAGUGGCGAACGGGUGAGUAACACGUGAGUAACCUGCCCACAACUUUGGGAUAACGCUAGGAAACUGGUGCUAAUACUGGAUAUGUGCUCCUGCUGCAUGGUGGGGGUUGGAAAGCUCCGGCGGUUGUGGAUGGACUCGCGGCCUAUCAGCUUGUUGGUGGGGUAGUGGCCUACCAAGGCGGCGACGGGUAGCCGGCCUGAGAGGGUGACCGGCCACAUUGGGACUGAGAUACGGCCCAGACUCCUACGGGAGGCAGCAGUGGGAAUAUUGCACAAUGGGCGCAAGCCUGAUGCAGCAACGCCGCGUGCGGGAUGACGGCCUUCGGGUUGUAAACCGCUUUCAGCAGGGACGAAGCUUUUUGUGACGGUACCUGCAGAAGAAGCACCGGCUAACUACGUG